rnacentral:rRNA from 1 species
UACGUAGGGAGCAAGCGUUGUCCGGAAUCAUUGGGCGUAAAGCGCGCGUAGGUGGCCUCGUAAGUCCGCUGUGAAAGUCAAAGGCUCAACCUUUGAAAGCCGGUGGAUACUGUGAGGCUAGAGUACGGAAGAGGCGAGUGGAAUUCCUGGUGUAGCGGUGGAAUGCGCAGAUAUCAGGAGGAACACCGGUGGCGAAGGCGGGUCUCUGGGCCAAAACUGACGCUGAGGAGCGAAAGCGUGGGGAGCGAACAGG